rnacentral:rRNA from 1 species
UACGUAGGGUGCAAGCGUUGUCCGGAAUUAUUGGGCGUAAAGAGCUUGUAGGCGGUUUGUCGCGUCUGCUGUGAAAUUUCGGGGCUCAACCCCGAACUUGCAGUGGGUACGGGCAGACUAGAGUGUGGUAGGGGAGACUGGAAUUCCUGGUGUAGCGGUGAAAUGCGCAGAUAUCAGGAGGAACACCGGUGGCGAAGGCGGGUCUCUGGGCAGUAACUGACACUGAGGAGCGAAAGCGUGGGGAGCGAACAGG